rnacentral:lncRNA from 1 species
UUAUGAUUAAUGAUAUGAUAAUAGUUAAAAUAUCAUGAACUGGGCUAUUAUACUCUUAAUAACAUCAAAUAAUUGUCUAGAUUACUAAAUUUUAUAAACAGAAAACCAAACAUAUUAAUACUACAAACACUACAAUCCAACAUUAUAUUAUUGUAUUAAGCCAAACACGCUAUUGCAGCAUAAGUAGUAAUUUCUUUUAGAAAUUUAAAAUACCUAGAUAUAUCGAAAUACUCUGUAAUAUUACAUAACUUGAAUCAAACGCGCGCCAUUAGAAUUGAGUGGAUGGUUGGUUGAAUAGUAUGAUCCAAUGGGUGAAAAUAGUUAAAGGAAUAGAUCUAGGGGUAGAAAACUCGGCAGUACUAAACACUUGGUGCUAUUAAUAGUAUAGUAACCGAACUCAAGAUAUCAGAUCAUUUCCAUAUUAACAACAUAUCAAUGUGCGAUUAACUAAAUUGGAUUAUAUGACUUGAUUAUAGUAUUUUACAAAAGUUUAAGAAAUUAAAACAAAAUAAAAUUUGAGGACUAUUUUGUCACGGGCCUCAUAGUUCGAGGACCAAACAAUAAAUUAUAAGACUUUGAUUAUAAUAAUUUUAAAAAUUCAAACUAUUAAUUGCAAUAAAUUAAAAUAUAAGGACCAAAAUAUUAUAUGUUUGAAUAAAUUAAAAUUUAAAGGAAUCAAAGUGUCACAUGUUUUGAGGACAAAACGUGUAAUUCUCUCUCUUUUUCUUUUCUUUUUUUUAUUCUGUGUGUGUGGACACCAUAGAUGCUCCUCAAUGAAAAUAGGGACAAGUACAGGGGCCUUGUUGAAAGAGGGGCACAUCGGAACUCACGCUAGAUUCCAAAACCAAGCGUGGAACCACAGGGCUGUUGCGGAAAGCGACACGCGAGUGCGUAGGAUUCCACCACGUGGACGAGCGUUUCACGAUGGACCGCGGAGGCGACGAACACCUUCACACCAAACCUCACACCCCCCCCGGCUUCACAGAAUUAAGUGCGGAGCACGUCA